AAGGAUCAUUACCGAGUUCUCGGGCUUCGGCCCGAAUCUCCCACCCUUUGUGAACAUACCUCUGUUGCUUUGGCGGCUCUUGCCGCGUGGAGGCCCUCAAAAGCCCCCCCGCGCGCGCUUCCGCCAGAGGACCAUCAAACUCCAGUCAGUGAACGUCGACGUCUGAAAAAACAAGUUAAUAAACUAAAACUUUCAACAACGGAUCUCUUGGUUCUGGCAUCGAUGAAGAACGCAGCGAAAUGCGAUAAGUAAUGUGAAUUGCAGAAUUCAGUGAAUCAUCGAAUCUUUGAACGCACAUUGCGCCCCUUGGCAUUCCGAGGGGCAUGCCUGUUCGAGCGUCAUUACAACCCUCAAGCUCUGCUUGGUAUUGGGCGCCGUCCUCUCUGCGGACGCGCCUCAAAGACCUCGGCGGCGGCUGUUCAGCCCUCAAGCGUAGUAGAAUACACCUCGCUUUGGAGCGGUUGGCGUCGCCCGCCGGACGAACCUUCUGAACUUUUCUCAAGGUUGACCUCGGAUCAGGUAGGGAUACCCGCUGAACUUAA
rnacentral:rRNA from 1 species